AUUUGGGUGGUUUUUAGGUUAGAUUAGCUAAAGAAAUAAUUUCUCUGUCAAUUUAAAAAUGCUGACCAUCUACUGUGUGCUCAAAGUUCAGUAACACAUUUUUAUAAAUUCUAUUCUAAUUGUCUUACCCUUCUUUUUUCUACAGUCUACUCAGACCCAUAUAAACUAACCUGCAAUGCCAUGCUCUGCUGUCAUGUUUACUGUAACAACAAACUGCUGAGUGGGAGGAGCACAUGAGUAAUUUCUCUUUAUACUACAUACAGACUGUGAUUGCUAAAGUGGAGUAAUGCAGAAGAUUUCUCUAAUGACCCUCUUAGGUUUGAUGGCAGUGUUAAGAAUGAAGUAAAUGAAUUCUCAAAGUAACUUUCCCGGUAUUUGUUUAUGCUGUUCCUGGCCUGUUGCUACUCUCACUGCUCUGUUUCAACAAUAUGAAGGGUUAAUUUCACUUGGAUAUUAUUUUUCUGAAUCGACUGAAGCUUUUUUUCUUUCAUCUAAAAUGAAUACCAUAAGGUUUUGAUUUUUCUCUUUGUUCUUCAGACCAUCUCUCAGCUCAUUAGCAGGUGAAUCAAAACACUUUUACUUGUCACCUAUUAAUAACUCACGUGAGAGUUUUGGGAAAAGUAGAAACUGCAUUCAAGGUUAUUUUUUUCCCCUAGUGUUGAAGAAUAAGAUGACAAGGAUUUCAAUUUGCACUCUUUAAAAAUUCUUUGCCAACUAUUUCAGCUACCAAUUCUAAAAAAUAAACCAAGCAAUACAUUUAUUGCAUUUAUUUCCCCACACAGAUUCUGAAGGAACUGCUAAGAUAGUAAAAGCAGGGAAGAGCAGGGUGAUUAUUUGCUAUGCCAAGUACUACACUAGGUGUUGUUAGUCAAAAAAAAUGCUGGUUUUAAUAGUCUUUGUCCCAGCUUGCUUCUGAAUGACCUCUAUAUUAAGUAGAGAAAAAAAUGGUUUGGAGGUAAGGUGCCAAAGAGAAAUAAAUCCCUGUGUACUAACAAUGGCUCUUGUGUGGCAAUUUUGAACAUUCAGUAAAUACUAUGAUUUCCCUACUUUCUCAAUCUACUUCCAAUUCCUUCUUUCUCUCCUUUCAAUGACCCUUUAAAAUCAUUGAGGAGGAGAGUUAUAAAUUAAAGAAUAUAUGGGAAUUAUUUCUAAGACUUUACUUUUAAAUGUUAUUUGACUCCAAGACAGAACGAAGGAGGUGGAGGUGGGUAAAUGAGGAAACCUCAGAGCAGCUAAGCUAGGACUGAAUUAAGAUCAGGGACAUAUGUUGAAUUUAAUUUACUUAAAACUUUACUACUUUCCUUUUCUGUGUUCUAUAGACAGCUCAGACCCAUAACAAUGUAACUUCCUGUACAUGUUUGGGCCCUUCCCUUAUUCUUUAAUUCAGAAAUGAGGUUGCCACUCACUUCCAAUUGUUGAUGAUGGCAACCAGACUUCUGAUGUAUACCGAUGAAGCUGGAACUAAGAAGUCUAGUUCCAUUGUGACUCCAGAUCCUUUUCGUGAAACCUGAUUCAUCUCUCCUAAAGGUUUGAUGUCUUCUCUUUUUUGCUAUUUACACUUUCUUCAUUAAUUCUGGUGGAUACUCAGUGGGCAUUUUAAUUUGAGACUCAGCUUAUAUCCUUCAGUUUUGUAAAAUUCUAUUGAUUUAUUCCUUUUAGAGUGUUAUGCCUUUUAUUUUUUUUUUCUGUGCAGUCCUUUUUUGGAACUCCUUUGGGUUGGAUAUUUGAUUACCAGAAUUAAAUCUCAAAUUUUAAUUUCUCCUCUGUCUUCUAUCUCUAUUACAACUAUUUCUUAUGCUCUAAUUUUUUGGAGAUUUCUUGAUUUUGUCUUUUGAGCCAUCCAUUAAACCAGUACAUGUUUAGCUAUCAUAGUCCUUAGAUCUCUGCAUAUUUUUUGGUU
rnacentral:lncRNA from 1 species